ACCUCUAUGACUCAUUGGCACCUGGCAUUUAAGAGACAAACACAGUUUUAGAAUGUGAAAUCGCCAUGGUAAUGCUCUUCACAACAUACUGGCUCAGGCUGAGAAUGGCACAGACUUAACUUUCUGGAAGAUAAGCCUCCUGCUGUUGACAUGGAAAGCCUCCGAGCAUCUUUACUUGGGAGGUUGUAAAGAUGAUUAGAAAUGUCUGCUGUUCCUGGAAGUGAAGCAUCGCUUGAAGCUCUCCACGUGCCUUUUGGAGGCGACCAGAAUAAUCUACAGGAAUGGCAAUGAAAAUGAGAGUAGAUGCAUAAACAGAAAAAGUUCUGGCGAGAGUUCCAGGUACCUUACAUGGAAGCAGCUGGGUAAACAGUGAUUUUGAGGCAUUAACACAUCAUAUUUGUACAGCAAUGAGAGUUUUGAAAAACAUUCAUCCUUCACACUCAAAGUGAAGCCAGACAUAACAUUUACUAAAAAGCAAGAGUCUAGUACAGUGUUGGAGAUGCAUUCUGCCUCUCCCAAAUUUCCAAAUGUUUGCUCCAGUAUUCUUUACAAACAUCUCAAGGAAACUUCAACAGCUUUUCAGCUUGUUUAAUGUGAAUGAAAGCGAAUAUCCCUAUGUUCUGGAAAAAGCAAAAACCCUGUCUUUCCAGCCACUUGGCCUGAUGUAAGUAUAAAGGCAGGAAAUCAUCUAGAAAUGUAAAAGUGCAACUUUCCUUCAACACCGUGCUGGGCUUUAUUCUGCUUUGGGAAGGCUUUUUGUAUGCAGCGAAGCUGUGCAUGAUGUCUCUGAUUUUAAAUGUUUCACCCAAAAUUAAUACGACUAUGUUUAUUUUUUUCUCUCUUACAUGAGGGAAGUAUUUCCAUAAGACCUGAGAAACAAGACAUAAUUUGGGGACACAAAGGCAGAUGAAGACUCAUUGCUCAUUCUUUUUUUCUCCACUCCCUGAAAUAGACAGUCCUUCCCUUCUGAUCCAAAUCCUAUUCAUUGUGUCAUAUCUAACUAAAAUGGCACCUUUCCUAAGAGUGCUUGUUAUUUGUGACUCCAGGACGUUCUAUCAGCCGUUGUUGUGGAUAUCCUUCCCCACACAUUUCAGAGCUCCAAGUACAGCACAGCGGCGGCAUUUCACGCUCCCUGGAACCUGUGAGGUGGAUGCCACAUCGUCUUCACUUUUUGGAUGUGAAAGCUGAAGCUCAGAGGUCCUGUCACCAGUCUAUGUGUCAAGGCUGUACGCAUCACCACUUCACAAAAGAAUACCUGCAGGAGUCUAUCAUACACGCACUGAUUGAGAUAGAUCAUGUGAGGAUAUGUAAAACCAGAGACUCGAAAAAUAGCAAGCUGAACUUUUGGAUAAGCUAUGCUUGGUUAUCCAAUGUCAGAAUUAUUUCUUUCAUCAGACCCAUGCAAAUGGAAUAAUAUUCUCUCUGCUGAACGUCACUGUUGCUUGGACCUCUUAAAGUUAAGGUCAAACAUCCCUUUUUGUUUUUAUUAAGAAGCAUUGCAUCACACAGAGAAAAUAUUAAACACUGAUCUUUCACAAGAGCACUGAAAAGCAAAUAGGGAUCGAUCUUAUUUUCAGCUGGGACAACCAUUUCCUUCAGGCUUGACCUGAGGAUCAGAUGUUUGACUCUUCUAGGAAUCAAGGUGAAGAUGGAUAAACAUGCAAGUUUGAAAGAAAGCAGGAACAAGGCAAUCCAACUUGUAUUUUCUGUAAGCUGGCGGCAGAACAUUUAACUGCCAGCUCCUGACAAGGUUUGGAAAACUCAUCAGUGGGAAAGCAGCCAAAACACUGCUCAAGCAUGGGUGGUCACCAGCAGCAAAGGAGGGAAAGCGAGCCAGAAAGAAAGAAGGAAAAAAAAGAGAGAGUCUUUAUAUAAGUGCUUUCCCAUGAUGUUCUAGCUAUCUGCUUUCCUGAAGCAGUGUAACUGUCACCAUCCUGCUGAAAGCUCAAAUCAAGAUGUGGCUUCUAGAAACUUACAAUAUUUUUGAGUCAUUCCAUUGCUUUGGAUGCUACACAUCUUGAAAGGAAAAAGCUGCACGGGUCAAGUAUAACUGUUGGCAUUUGACCGCUGCUUUUGCAUCAAUUUCAAGCAUUCACUAUGAUGAUGGAGAAAGUGUCACCUUUCUGAUGACUUUCCUGGGACCUCCCGGAGGUCUGGGCUCCUUCCCUGUGUCCCUGGAUAAUAAGCCUUACCUCUGCUACACCUCCACUCAUGUGGCAUUCUAAUUGUUCCAUAAUUUGGUCUCCCCAAAUGAAGUCCAAGGAACUCAAGGUCAUGGUCUGAGUCCCACCCGCUACUGUGGCUCCAGCACCCAUCAUACUUGCCGACAGCAAAGUACGUUUGGUUACCAGAGAAGACAAGAGAGGCAGGAAGUCACAGUCCACGUGCUUGAAGGAUCUUAAGGCAUUGAUGUGACCUCGUCUGCAAAGUUGACAAAGAAGGAGCCACGGGAACCUCAGAGCAGCCAGGAUGACUUCAGGAAGGGGCAUGGGUGGGAGGCUUAAGAGAUGGCACAGGGCAUGGGCAGGAGGUGGGGCAGGUCUGUGCACGCCCAGGAGGGGAUUUGACCUUGGCUCAGGAUGUCAUAAGGAGCUCGUGAAGACCAUGGCAGUGCCGGAACGAAUGGGCACUGGAGAAGCUCUUUGGCCUUGACAAUUUGAUUUCGAGAGCACCAGUAUUACCACAAGAGUUAAAAUCCAUCUUAUGAAAGUG